CUCCUUUGGUAGUUCAUAAGUGUGAUGAUUGAGUUUUCACUUUCAUGUGUGAGAUGUGCCUCCCUCAAACCUUGUCAUGAUGUCAGCACAUUACCCACGUCUGAUG